rnacentral:rRNA from 1 species
GACGAAUGCUGGCGGCGUGCUUAACACAUGCAAGUCGAACGGUGAAGGGGAGCUUGCUCCCUGGAUCAGUGGCGAACGGGUGAGUAACACGUGGGCAACCUGCCCCUCACUUCGGGAUAACCAUUCGAAAGGAUGGCUAAUACCGGAUAUGAGCCCUGGAGACAUCUCUGGGGUUUGGUGGAAAGUUUUUCGGUUUGGGAUGGACUCGCGGCCUAUCAGCUUGUUGGUGAGGUAAUGGCUCACCAAGGCGUCGACGGGUAGCCGGCCUGAGAGGGUGACCGGCCACACUGGGACUGAGACACGGCCCAGACUCCUACGGGAGGCAGCAGUGGGGAAUAUUGCACAAUGGGCGCAAGCCUGAUGCAGCAACGCCGCGUGCGGGAUGACGGCCUUCGGGUUGUAAACCGCUUUUAGUAAGGAAGAAGGGGAGCUUGCUCCUUGACGGUACUUGCAGAAAAAGGACCGGCUAACUACGUGCCAGCCGCCGCAGUAAGAC